AAGUCGUAACAAGGUAGGGGAGUGCUCUAGGGUACCAGGGUGCUUUAUCUAGCGCUCAAUUGCAGCGUCCAGGUACACGCAGAACUUCCCAAAAUCAAAAUCUGUAAUUCUUUAGCGCCUGAUUUACUCGGGAUUGCUGUUUUGAUGUCCUGCAAGUUGUUUUAAUGUUUGGAUACGUGUUAAUGAUCUUCCGCAGGUUCAUGUCUGAAAGCGGCAGGGAUCAAUGUUCAGGGUGGCGCAGUCAACGAUCGACGACCGGCGACCGGGGUGGAGGCGAAAGCCCCUACGUCAUCCCUAUGUACCCUCCGGGACUUGGCGAAAGCUGACUCCAUCACGAACAACUGUUAACAAUGGAUAUCUUGGUUCUC
rnacentral:misc_RNA from 1 species